UACGAAGGGGGCUAGCGUUGUUCGGAAUCACUGGGCGUAAAGCGCACGUAGGCGGGUCGUUAAGUCGGGGGUGAAAUGCCAAGGCUCAACCUUGGAACUGCCUUCGAUACUGGCGAUCUCGAGUCCGGGAGAGGUGAGUGGAACUCCGAGUGUAGAGGUGAAAUUCGUAGAUAUUCGGAAGAACGCCAGUGGCGAAGGCGGCUCACUGGCCCGGUACUGACGCUGAGGUGCGAAAGCGUGGGGAGCAAACGGG
rnacentral:rRNA from 1 species